GCUUGUUUAUGCAAAUCAUGGCGCCGUAUCGGAGUGUCUGAUAUUUUACACAAGCAUAAACGUUUUCGCAAAGAACAUAAACUUUGUCAUACUGUAAACAUUGUCAUUUCAAGGUAAAUUUGUCAUCAGGUACACCUAACCUGCGAACGGGCAUACUCUGCAUACGAGAUUGCAGUUGUAGAAGCGUUGAUUUGAACUUUUAAAAGAAUUGCGACGUAUACCACUGGUAAUUUUCUAAAUGUCUGCUGUGGUUUAUUACAUUUGGCAAUACAUCAUAUAGCCAUGUUAUUAAAGCGUUUUGAGAACAUUUAUAGAAAUACUGAACCUUUGAGGCAAAGCUAUUUGUACAUAGUGAUUUAUAGGUGUUGUUACAGAUAUUUGAAAUAAAUUCCAGUCCUGUUCUACUUUCAUAUUAUGGAGAUCAUAUUCAGUCGAAUUCCAAUUACGUUAACCGAGGUUGACUAAAAAAAACAGUUAAUUUACUUCUGCCAUACACAAGAACAUUGGUGCCAUGAAGUAUUUCAGUUAAGGUGCAGUUUUCAUACUGUAUAUCCACAUAUCUGCAUGUUACCUAGA